AAGAGGCCAAAGACCUGGCUGUCUCCUGCAGCUGACAGGACACGCGACUCUGUCCUAAAAAGAGGUGGAAGAUUGGUCACAUUCUGAUGCAAGAUGGAAGACUGGUCACAUUCACUAAAAAAACCUCCAAGCAAGCAAACCAGAAACACAUCAGUUAAAGCUGAGAUCAAAACAGAGGAUUACAUGCUGAGACCUGUUGUCUUCCAAGCCCUCAUCUAAUUCCUGCAAACUGUGCUGUGGAAUCUGGGGAGGCCCAGUAUAGCUACCUGCCACAGGAAAGCUUGGAGCGAGAUGCUUCAUUAACCUCCUGUGACACACAAUUUACUGCCAAGCUGAAUCAGAAGCCAAAUUGUGACACCAGGAGAAAGCUCAGCCAAGAAACCCCUGCACUAAAAAUGUGGUGCCCUGGUUCAGGCCCCAGGGACCCUGGAAGGAGCAGCAAAAGCAAUCUAACCAGCUGCAAUUG